CUGGUUAAAUAUUUCAGUAAUCCCUUAGAGAAACUUCUCAUUCUCUUUACAUGAAAUGCUGAGUAUUUUCAGGUUCUCUGCCCCUCUCCAGUAGUGCCUGGAGAUAUGGGGAUGGUGUAUAGUUUUCAUGACCUUGUGGGGCAGGAGGGAAAUAUACUCCUUAAAUCCACCUUGUGUUCUCCAGAUCAUCAGGGUUUCUCUAAUGGAAUAACUAAUUUGGGCUUCUCCCUGGACUGGUAACUGAGAUCUGAACUUACCAUCCCUGAUCAUCAUACUGGUAUCUGAUGCUGAAUGGAUUGUGCUCAUGACCUAACCUUGGAUUUUUAAUUUGUUUAUUUGGCUAGGAUACAUGCCUGUAGGCUGGUUGGUUUCACUUUGGAUUUUAUUGGAUGUGAAAUUCCUCUCAGCAUUCACUGUUUUUUUUUGUUUUUUUUUUUGUUUUGUUUUUACCUGGCUCACAGGUCAGCCAGUCUAUACCAAAGCUUCUGCUCCAGUACCAUCUCUUGCGUUGCUGUGGUGGUCCAAACAGUAGGCAUUCUAACUAUCUGCUCAGCUCCUUUACAUAGUUCAACUGUAUGACAUUAAGGAGCAUUUGAGUCUCAAUCAUACCAUGCAGGACUCAAGAGGUGCUCAGGAAAGCAGCAUUCCUGCCUGCCUUCUAGCUUAAUCAGUUUUUCCUAGAAACGCCAUUUGACAUGGCCACUCUCAAGAUUCUGUUAUAGGGCAAGUUUCAAGGGAAUCUCCUUCAAAUAUUUUAAAUGUGAAGUGUUGCAACACCUUGCCUUGACAUUUCAUGAUGUUAUACACCUCUCCAUUCUGGGACCAAACAUGGAGAAAGAAUAUCAAAACACAUAUGUUUUAACUUCUGUCUUUCUUACCUGAAUCAACUUUUUUGUGCCAUCAAUCAUAAUGGUGGAAAUAGGCAUUGGACUCCUCCCUUCUUCAACAUCCUAUCUGGAUACUGGAUCCUUCCCUUCUUCAGCAUCCUGUUUAGAAGUGGUCUAGUAUGCUUCUUGUUAAAUUUCAGUGCUAAAUCAAUUAGAAUAUUAUUUUCUGUCUUUGGAAGACCUGUCUUUCAAGCCCAUUUUUUAGCUAUGAACUUGGAAAUCCUACUUUGGUUGUCAGAGGAUAUGUAUUAAUCCUUUCUUUUUCAUAUAGUUUAUCAGUUAGAUGUUUGUUAUAGAGAACACAGACAACUCUUCCAAACCUACAAAGAAAAUGAUUCAUUGCCAGAUAUUUAAUGGCUGAAAAUAUCGUCAAUAGAACUUGCUUCAGGCCAAAAUUCCAGGAACAACUCUUAAUCUCCAGAAUCACACUGCAAGAUGCAGUUCCAUGGUUCAAAAUCGUGAAGUUGCUUACUUCAGAAUGAUGCCACAUUCAGGAAACUGCUGCUAUUACUAAGGAAAUUCUCUAAAUCAAGUGGUCAUUAACUGUAGAGUCAUAUUGCUGGUGACAUGCUUCAAUAGAAUGGAUGCAUCACACCUUGACUUUUUCCACUUUGUACAAUUCCAAAUUCAGAGAAUGCAUGAGAACAUAUAAUGGAUGGGAGCUAAAUAAAAUCUUGAAUCCCAGUUAUAAGAAAAUAUAAAAAUAUAAUCUUUAUCAGAAUCUGUACUUCAAGAAAGUACAAUAGAAAGAAGUUGACAUAGAUACUAAAUGAGCUAAUCUAUGGUAUCCAUUAAUGCAAAGCAUUAAAGGUACUGCAUUAGCAUAGAGUGAUUUUAAUAUAUUUAAAAUAUCUUGUUUGGUAUUUACUUAUUGCUAUUAUUUAUUUUUACUAUUAUUUACAUGACAGUUUAAAAAAUUUAAAUCCUCCUCAAACACAUAGGUAGCUCAAGGUAACAAGAGAGUUAUGAACACUUAAAAUGUGUAGGAGAAAACCUCAUUAAUAUAUGCCUGUGAUGUUUGUACAUUAACAUAAAUUUUUAAGACAGACACAAAUUCAGACAGGCUCACUAUUUUCCUGACCUUAUUAUAUCUGAAAUAUCAUAAUACUCAAGGUUACUUAGUGGACAUUUGCCAUUUGUUUAAAUCCACCCAAAAUGGAACUGUAAAUAGUCUAAAUUCAUAUCUCAGAAUUUACCUUUUUCUACAGCUAAUUUCUCUUCUCCAUUCUCAUUAUCUUUGACUUAUUGUAUUCUCUUCUACUUCUCCUUUCCUAGAUUUUUUCAUUAAAUUAUCUUAUUUGAUUCCCUUUACUCUUCAUCUUGCCUUUUAUCAUUUCUUUGCUUUUUGUUUUUUCAUCAUUCUGAGUAUAUUUGUAUUACCCAGACAUUUGGGAAGCAUUAUUCUACUUUUAUAACAUUUCUGUUAUUAGAAGUUAAAUUGACUUGAAAUAUUUAAUCAUGUGUGUAUAUUUUAAUAGCAUGCUGAAAAUUAAUAUAAUGACUAGCCUAUUUCCAAAGAUUGAAUGCUUACUUUAAUUCUGUCUUUGGUAAUAAUAGAAUCAGAUCCAUAUCCAAUAGAAAUUAAUUAAUUAUAGAGGAAGAUGAUGCCUUUCCUCGUUGCUUGCACUGCUUUAAUGUAUGUAUAAUACCUAUUUUAUCACAAUUUGUAAAUCCCCAACAAUGCCUAGAAAGGUUUUAUCAUGGUAGAUACUUAAUUCUUAUUCAUUAGAAUUUGGCUAUAGGUUUUUUUCACUUUACUCCUAGCAUUUUUGACAAAAUUCCAGAGGAGAUUCAGAAAUUAACAGAGUAAUUAAAACUGGUCAGAAAAAUGAGCAAAACAGAACAUGCCAUUUAAUAACUGAAUAAAAAAAGAGUUCCAAACAACCAGCUUAUAAGUAGGAGUGAUGCAUUUCCUUUUGAUCUUUACCAACAAGUGGAAUUGCUGGAUUGUAUGACAGCUCUAUUCUGAUGGACCUCCAUACUGCUUUCUAUAAUGGUUGUACCAAUUUACAUUCCACCAACAGUGUGCAAGGGUUGUCUCUUCUCCACACCCUUGCCAACAAUUUUUAUUUCUUGUUUUUUAAUCAUCAUUUUUGUAAUACAUAUUAUUUAUAAUUUUUCAGACUACUAUAAUUAAACACAUUUUGCUCUUUAUUGAUAAUGUGUGUUCUUAUUUUGAAUAUUUAUCAUUAAACAUUGUAAUAACACAAAUCUGUGUGAAUUUUUGUGUGUCCAAGCUUCCUUCUUUAGUACCAAGUGGUCGCUUCCACUUUACUCGUCCAUUUCUUGUGGAUUUCAGUUUCUAAUUCCGGAUGGGCUUGAAAAUCAGAACACUAUUCAGCUUAAGCUUUGAGUGAUACAGUAGUUUAUAAAUUCCUAAACGUGGUUCCAACAAGUGUAUUAUGUAGCUUUAGCUCAUACUAAAGCUGUAAAGUAUUUCAGAUACCUAGUCCAUGAAUUUUCUAAUAAUUUAGGGGAGGUUCCCAAACUGAGGUAGUAUUAAAAUAUUGAGGAAAUCAAAAAUAAUAUUUGAGUCAUUAAAAUCAAAGUAAUGAGCAAUCAGAGAGAUGAUUUAAGUCAUUUUAGGGAAAAGUUUCCCUUAUUACAGAGGAGCAUGGUAAAUCAAUGCAUGAGAGACUAAAUAAUUAUUUUAGAUGUGUUGUGCAAUGUCCAGCAGAAUUUAAAUCACAGAAAGGUUUACAUUUGAACAGUGAAAGAUACCUGCAGUAUUCAUAGAUACCUGCGAAUAGUUAGGCAAAUAUGUUUUCAAAUAAAAUACAAAGUUUACACUUGUUUUGCCUAACACGGUUGUACAGGCCAAUGAUUAAAUGCACCAACUUUGGAAUCAAGAUUUCCUGGAUUCAAAUUCAAGCUCCACCAUUGGCAAAUUAUUUAACCUACAUGUGCCUCAGUUCCCUCAUCUAUAUGUGGAGGCAAUAGUUACACUCUCUUAUAAUGUUUUUGUUAGCAUUGUCAGAAGAUAGCUCAUGUGGAGCAUUUUAGAAGAAUACUUAUGUUUAACAGCCAACAGGUUUGCUUAUUAAACUGUAGAGAAAAAUUAAAAAGAAAAAUCAAGAAGUUCUUCACUAGUUUAAUUUUUCUACAAAUGAUAAAAUGUUUCUGAUUAUAUAUGCUAUGAAUUUGUUUAAUGUCUUGUUGAGGCAUCUGAAGUGUGUGUGCAUGUAAAUAUUGGCACAUUUCUGAACACAAUUUACACCGAGCCAAAGAGAGUCACUAAUAUUUGUUAAAUUGCUUUUCUAAAGUGGGAAAAGUAGCAUCUUUUCCAAAGGGUGCUUUAUUCACACUAACUAAUUAAGUGAAUGAGCUUUCUGGUUUUAAUUAAGUGGAGUGUUUGUAUAUGUAUAUGCUUGUUUAUAUACUCAGCAGCAAUAAGGGUGAGAUUUUAAUAUAGAAAGGAAGAAAUAGCCACUAAGAAAGUUCAAGCCCAUUCAAGUAAAAAUCCUAACCUGAUAGUUUUAGGCAAUGCAAAGUUAAUGGACUGGUUUGAAUUCCAUAAAGUGGUACUUUUUUAUCAUCUGAAAUGGCUCAUGGAUCUCAUAUGAACAUACCUAAUAUUUCUGGAGCAUUAACUCUUCAGAGGUAUAAUCACACUGUGUAUCAAUAAAGAUAAAAUACGUGAUAAGUGAAAUUUUGCUUUCUGGCUGCUUUGGGAUUAUGUGGCUAAUGACCAUCAGGCAGACACUCAGGCAAUUACAAUGGGGAGAUUUCUUAGCUCUGAAAGCACAGGCAAGAUUCCAAAAUGUGCAAAACAAGCAGAGCAUAGAGUAGGGGCAAAGGUGAUAUAUUCAUGGAUGAGUGCAAGUUUUGGUUUUCAGGAGUUCAAGGAGCAAGUCUGUUCAGAAUAUUGUUAUAAAGCAGAUAGAGGACAAAAGCAUAAUUGAAAUAACCGGAAUGUACAUAGGCUAACUGCAUUGCUUUAUGUGGUGUGGUUCUGUGGAAAGAUUAUUAGACUUACAAGAGUGAGGACUCACAGUUCUGCCAGCAAAUAAGCUGAGUGGCUUCAGACAAGCCACUUUACUUAUCUCUGGGCCUCAGUUUUCCCGUUUAUGGAUUAAAGACAUUCACAGACAUUGGCUGAGUGCCCGCAAUGUGCCAGCUAUUGAGCUAAACUUGGGAUGCUAGAAAAGACAAUCCCUUUUCUGGAUUAGGAAGUUUACAUUUUAAAGAUGCAAGAAGGCACUAAACAAGGGCAGUGAGGUACAACAAGCUCUGUGGUUUUAUUUCUCCUAAAUGGGAGGAAACAUAGAGAGGAAGAAAAGUAUGCAAUCUCAGUUGCAAAUGGAGGCAGGGGCUCACCAUGUUCUCUGAUACGAUUGUACCGCCCAUUGGUAAGAAUCAGAGGCUGAAAAGAUUCUGUUACUGAAACUCAACACUUAGUUGAUACCUGCUACAACUUUAACUACUCGUUGACUGUUUACGGCUUUUGCUGUAAGUUGGAGUAUGGUGACAAACACACAACAGGAGUCUAAAAACUCAAACGUAUCUAAAAGCCAUGACACAGAAGGCCUGGAGACUGCAUGGAAUGAUGAGGACUGCAGUGAACUCUGAAGUGCCUACCCAUGUGAAACGAACAAGUGCUAUUCGGAAGAAGCAGGUUGUGUUAAUCUGAGGCCUUUGAGAUACUAUAUGAACUGCUCCAACAUUCUGAAGAGAAGGUCUGGAUCAUUUAAGUAGGACUUGCAAAGAAAGUGGCCUAGAUCCUUAGCUGAGCUGAUCACUUACCUCAAACCUAUAAAGAAGUGGAGGGGCCAAGAAUAGGUGUUGGAUAUCAGCGGGAGAGUUUCAUCAAAGAGCUGUCAGUUUCAUCUCAACCUUACCCUCCAGGAGAGGUGAAGACUAAAGCACCAACUGAGGAGAAAAGAUUUUCAGUGUCAGUGAAGUUAAAACAUGUCAGCGGCAGUUGCUUCUGUGAAUAUUGUCUCACAUGAAAGGAAGGAUGGAUUGAAUUCAUAUCUGAAACAAGACAAGAUUUUCCAUCUGACCUCAUUAUGUGUUUCUCUGGAGUGCAUCCCUGGGUUUCUGCCUGAACUGAAAUGUGUUGUGGGGAAACCAAAUAUAAAACAGCUCAGUACUGCCAUAACUGACGUGUCUUAAUAAGAUGGGGUAUUUAUUGUUUUGCCACAGUCCUCUCUUAACUCUAAAAGUCAUUAUGAUGUGCUAGAUCCCUUUGUUAAAGCAAUUCCCAUAAGUGAAGGCAUGUACUAAUGAAAAGGUUUAUGCUACAUGGCUGGAAACAAGGAUGAAGUAGCAUUACUGUGUAUAACAGAGAUUCAUAUUGAGAAAUAUUUAUGGAAAGAUUUUUAGAGACUUGACUGUUGUAUUCUUAUAAAUAAUUAAAUGUACAAAUCAUCAUUGUUACAAUACAGCCAGUUUCCUUUUCUGUGAGCACUGGUGAUCGAUUCAAAAAUAUAUUGAUUUAAGGAAAUUUAUAGCAUUUUUCAUUGCUCCUAGUAAUACUAGAAAAUUUUUCACAGGUCAGAAAUAAUAGAAAACUUUCCCCUAGAUUAACCUUGUGCCACACAGACAGAUUUUCUUUAUUCUAAUGUAUCAUAAGGAAAGGCAUAAUGUCUUUCAGUUUUAUUUGUACAAUGGCUUAUAUGUCUUUAUGAGCAUAUAUAUUUGCAUCUAUCAUACUAAUUGAUAAAGAAAUAUGUCAUUGUCUGCAUUACUAUAUGUGUAUAAAUGUUUUUAUAUAUGUACAUACACACACUAUGAUUCUAUUUUUCAAAAUAUAGUGAAGGUAAGGAAAAUAUUAGUUAGAACUCCAACACCUACCACCACUAAAAUAUGUUUUAAUAACCUUUGAGCUAUUCUGUAAACUAAAUUACCAUUAUACCUAAGAAUAAAUCAAUGGCAAUAUACUAUUCAAAAAGUUAAUCGCAUAGAUCUCUGUAUGUAUACAUGUAAAUUUAUAUAUAAUGUAGAUAUAGUGAGAUGCAUUAUUUUGUUGAAAUUAGUGUCACUCUUCUGUGUUUAUUUAUACUAAAUAAUUUGAAAAACAUUUUAGAUUUUUAGUUGCUAUAGUAACACACCAUUAGACCAUUUUUCCAAUGUUGUAUAUUUUAUAAAACAGUAAGUACGAAACUAUAGAUGUGAUAAAUAAGCUAACAUAGACAAGUUUUCAGGUUUCAACACAAUCCUUUGGUUGAUAUGUUCAGCAUGGACUCUAAACAUUUCUGGCACACAAUGAACCUUUUAAAUUUGCCACCUGAGGAGAACUAUUCUUUUGGAAAUUGAAAUGCUGUGUAAUCUGUGACACUUUUACUUUAUAAAAAAUAACUUUUUUAUUCAAAUAGCAAAGAAUUAUGAAAUAUGUACUGCAUUCUUAGCAUUUUGCCUAAAGCUAGGGAUGCAGAGAUUACGGGGAGGUCCCUACAUUCAAGAGGCCACCUAUCAACUACAGAGCUCACUUCCUAAUAUUAAACUGUUGUGAGCAACCAAAUUAAAAAUGUACAUACAUGAUAGUUCACCUUCUAAGAAGUGGAGCUUAAUGUUACCUCCUUUGAAGUAUGAGUAAUUCCCAAAUAAUAGGGUAGGGAAAGGAGUUUUUUAUUAGUAGGGAAACCUGAUAAACCUACAUUUACCAAGUGAUGAAGGUUAAUCUUAUCAGUCAUGUUAAUGUAAAUAUCAUUUUCUGCCGCUAUAAUGUGAUGAGAAGAAAUUUUCACCUCUCUGGUAUUCUUUCCAAAAAUUUAUAUCCUGACUAAUCUGAGAAAAAAAAAAUUAGACCAACCCAGAUUGGGUGACGAUUCUACAGGAUACCUAGCCAGUAAUCCUCAAGACUGUCAAGGUUAUAAAAAACAAAGAAAGCCUAAGAAUCUUUCACAGGCCAUUGGAGCUUGGGAAGCCAAGAUAACCCAGUGCAAGGUAGUACCCCAAAUUAGACAUGGAACAUAAAGAGAACAUUAAGGACUAACUGGUGAAAUGCAAACAAAGUCUGGAGUUCAGUUGAAAAAUAAAACAAUUUAUAUAUAACUUUAAAGUCUAACAAUUAGGUCUGUUACAUUAGAAAAGAUAAACUGUAGUUUUAUCAAACAGCAGAUCAACUAAAAACUAUCCAGUUGUCAAGAAUGAAGGAAAUUUAGCACUCCAAUAGCCAGGCUAAUGUCACAUAAGUAUUGUGUCACAGAUCACAACAUGUGAACCUACAAUUAAGGAUCUUGAAACAUCUUUGGCCAGUGGUUUGCAAACUCUUUUUCGCAGAGCACUAGGAGCGUCUCAGACAGCAGUAUGGAUGAGUGAGAAGACAUGACAUUAGCCAUGCACCUAUCCCCAAUUUAACAUAAUAUUUUAUUUCACAAGAAGAAUCCAUGGCUUAGAAAAAAUACAAGAAAAUCAGUAUGAAAAAAUCAGUAACCUAGAGAGGUGCUUAUUAAACGUCAACGGGUAUACACAUCACAGAAGAUCUUUAAAGGCCAAUAUUGAUUCAGUAGUUCUGGGGUGGAGCCUGAAAUUCUGCAUUUAUGAUGAGUAAUGUCUACCCUAGGAGAUGAAGAUGUUGCUCGUCAGAGAAAAACACUGUAAGUAGGAAGGAUCUAGCUCAAAUGUUAAACUCUUCUCAUGUCAGUACGUUUCAUAGAGGAAAGUUUGCUGUUAUGUUUAAUGGGUUUUAUGACUUCAAUAGCAACACAUCAAAAUCCUUCUCAGUUAGUGAGUUGGAAAAAAUUAUGAAAACUGAGUUUUUUAAACUACACUUCUAUCCAUACCUCAUCCUUCAGUCCCCUUAAUCUAACUCGUAUUUAUUAUAACAACCUCCAGAACCAGACCUUACUCAGCCACGUCCUCUAUCUAGACUAUCCUCUCAUCAUGUCAUUCUAUAACCAGCCAUUUCAUCAAUGAAUUUGGACCCAACUGAGAUGUUCUUCUACCAAUUAUACUUUAUCAUACUCCAUGUCAAGCCGAGCAUCAGGUAGUAUGCACUAUCAAUUACAUCUUUCCAGGAAAAGGGAAGAAAAUUGAUGUUUUGGUUUUGUAAAAACCUAUGCUUUUGUAUUUCAUCUGGGCUCUUACCUGCCUACUCACAUUUUAAAAAUGUACUUCAUAUUGACCCUUAGUACAUUUUCCACAGGAUUGUUCCAAGCUUUCUGCUCUCUCAGAGGUCAUAUUUUAUUCCAAAACAUUUAUCACUUGAUCUUAUUUUCUGCUUCUCAAGAUUGAGAUUCUGGAACUCAAAAUAUCUUUCCCCCAUCCUGAUAUUGCCUCAAACUACUGCACAUCACAAGUAAGAUAGCUGCUUUUAGAAGUAUUUGGGAGCUUCUUCAAUUUCAGAUUGUUCUCAUAGGUUUUCUGAGCUUCUAACUAAUUAUUUGUAUCUCCCUUGCUACCUUUAAAAAAAGUUACUGUAAAAGUAAUUUGUAAACUUGUGUUUGAAAUCAGAGGUCUAACUCUCUGGUUUUAAGUCUUAGUGCUACUAUUUUCUAGCUUUAUGAUUUUGAGCAAGUUUGCUUCACUUUAUGAGCUCUAAUAUUUUUAUCUCAAAAACAAUGAUAAUAAUGACCAUUAUGUCACAUUUCUGCUUUAUGAACUGAAUGAGAUAAUAUAUGCAAAAUGUCUAGACCUGUGCCUGUCAGUAAUGUUAGAUAAAUUGUCAGUUAUUACUAUUACAUAUCUGCAGUCAUUCUUUUGGAUAGCUUGUCUGAUCUCAUUUUAUCUUUAUAUAAUCUUUACCUGUAUUUCCAACCCAGUUUCUUGAUAUCACAUUAUCUUGCUUUAUAACUCAGUUUCUAGAUGACAACUGGAACCGGAUAAUUCUUUGUUGUGGGGAGCUGUCCUGUGCAUUGUGAAAUGUUUGGCAAUAUUUCUAGCCUUUAUCCCCCAGAUGCCAGUAGCAACCCCCAGUUGCGACAAUGAAAACUGUCUCCAAAUAUCACCUAAUGUCCUCUGAGGUCCAAAAGCACCCCUGGUUGAGAACCAUCCUUCUAAUCUUUUUUAAGGAUAUGCUUAUAUGGAUGCCUCUUUGAUGCCUCAACAUAUGGGCAAAGGUAAAUGUAUCAUAUUCUCAAUAAAUACGUUUUGUAUACUGUUUUA